rnacentral:rRNA from 1 species
AUUGAACGCUGGCGGCAGGCCUAACACAUGCAAGUCGAGCGAGCGGCGGACGGGUGAGUAAUUUCUGGGAAACUGCCUGAUGGAGGGGGAUAACUACUGGAAACGGUAGCUAAUACCGCAUACCAUCAGAUGUGCCCAGAUGGGGUUAGCUAGUAGGUGGGGUAACGGCUCACCUAGGCGACGAUCCCUAGCUGGUCUGAGAGGAUGACCAGCCACAAUGGAACUGAGACACGGUCCAGACUCCUACGGCAGGCAGCAGUGGGGAAGAUUGCACAAUGGGAGCAAGCCUGAUGCAGCAAUGCCGCCUGUGUGAAGAAGGCCUUCGGGUUGUAAAGCACUUUAAGCGGGGAGGCGUUACCCGCAGAAGAAGCACCGGAUAACUCCGUGCAAGCAGCCGCGGUAAUUC